rnacentral:tRNA from 1 species
GCGCGGGUGGCGAAACUGGUAGACGCGCACGUUUGAGGGGCGUGUGUCUAACGACUUGGGGGUUCAAAUCCCCCCCCGCGCA